rnacentral:rRNA from 3 species
GCUGGUGUCUUUAGCGAUACGGAACCACUCCUUCCCAUUCCGAACAGGAUAGUGAAACGUAUCAGCGGCGACAAUAGUACCAUUCGGUGCGAAGAUAGCUCGAUGCCAGUA